rnacentral:rRNA from 1 species
GAUGAACGCUGGCGGCGUGCCUAAUACAUGCAAGUCGAGCGAACGGACGAGAAGCUUGCUUCUCUGAUGUUAGCGGCGGACGGGUGAGUAACACGUGGAUAACCUACCUAUAAGACUGGGAUAACUUCGGGAAACCGGAGCUAAUACCGGAUGAUAUUUUGAACCGCAUGGUUCAAAAGUGAAAGACGGUCUUGCUGUCACUUAUAGAUGGAUCCGCGCUGCAUUAGCUAGUUGGUAAGGUAACGGCUUACCAAGGCAACGAUGCAUAGCCGACCUGAGAGGGUGAUCGGCCACACUGGAACUGAGACAUGGUCCAGACUCCUACGGGAGGCAGCAGUAGGGAAUCUUCCGCAAAGGGCGAAAGCCUGACGGAGCAACGCCGCGUGAGUGAUGAAGGUCUUCGGAUCGUAAAACUCUGUUAUUAGGGAAGAACAUAUGUGUAAGUAACUGUGCACAUCUUGACGGUACCUAAUCAGAAAGCCACGGCUAACUACGUG